GCACCAAUUCUAAGUCAGCUGCUAGGUGCCGGCCGAGGCGAGGCGCCGUCCGUCCGGGCACCCCCCUGCGAGGCCCGCGGCGGGGGAGGGAAGGGGGGACCGCCCCCACCCGCGGCCGAGACCGGGGAGAGAGAGCGGCGC